rnacentral:tRNA from 1 species
AUUCCCGUAGUUGAAUUACAACGUUGGUUUUUCAAGUCAGUGGUCCUGAUGAAAAUUCAGGUGGGAAUG